rnacentral:rRNA from 1 species
CCUACGGGAGGCAGCAGUGAGGAAUAUUGGUCAAUGGGCGCAAGCCUGAACCAGCCAUGCCGCGUGCAGGAAGAAUGCCCUACGGGUUGUAAACUGCUUUUAUUUGGGAAUAAACCUUUCUACGUGUAGAAAGCUGAAGGUACCAAUUGAAUAAGCACCGGCUAACUCCGUGCCAGCAGCCGCGGUAAUACGGAGGGUGCAAGCGUUAUCCGGAAUCAUUGGGUUUAAAGGGUCCGCAGGCGGACCUAUAAGUCAGUGGUGAAAGCCUACAGCUUAACUGUAGAACUGCCAUUGAAACUGUAGGUCUUGAAUUCGGUCGAAGUGGGCGGAAUGUGUAGUGUAGCGGUGAAAUGCAUAGAUAUUACACAGAACACCGAUAGCGAAGGCAGCUCACUAGGCCUGGAUUGACGCUCAGGGACGAAAGCGUGGGGAUCAAACAGGAUUAGAUACCCUGGUAGCCCACGCCGUAAACUAUGAUUACUCGUUUUCGGCGAUAUACAGUCGGAGACUAAGCGAAAGUGAUAAGUAAUCCACCUGGGGAGUACGAUCGCAAGGUUGAAACUCAAAGGAAUUGACGG